rnacentral:rRNA from 1 species
UAGGGAAUCUUCGGCAAUGGGGGCAACCCUGACCGAGCAACGCCGCGUGAGUGAAGAAGGUUUUCGGAUCGUAAAGCUCUGUUGUAAGUCAAGAACGGGUGUGAGAGUGGAAAGUUCACACUGUGACGGUAGCUUACCAGAAAGGGACGGCUAACUACGUGCCAGCAGCCGCGGUAAUACGUAGGUCCCGAGCGUUGUCCGGAUUUAUUGGGCGUAAAGCGAGCGCAGGCGGUUUGAUAAGUCUGAAGUUAAAGGCUGUGGCUCAACCAUAGUUCGCUUUGGAAACUGUCAAACUUGAGUGCAGAAGGGGAGAGUGGAAUUCCAUGUGUAGCGGUGAAAUGCGUAGAUAUAUGGAGGAACACCGGUGGCGAAAGCGGCUCUCUGGUCUGUAACUGACGCUGAGGCUCGAAAGCGUGGGGGAGCGAACAGGAUUAGGAUA